UAUCGAAGAUGGCGCUUAGGCAAAUCCGGGCGCGUAAAUCAAGGGUAUGGCACGAGCGAGCAUUGCUUGCGAAGUGAUUGGAAGUGGUUCCAAGAAAAGCCUCUAAGCUUCAGCUGUACGAGACCGUACCGCAAACCGACACAGGUGGACGGGAUGAAUAUUCCAAGGCGCUUGAGAGAACUCAGGAGAAGGAACUCGGCAAAUUGAUACCGUAACUUCGGGAGAAGGUAUACCCCGGUAGUGUGAAGCGCCUGCGCGCUUAGCAUGAUGGGGUCGCAGAGAAUCGGUGGCUGCGACUGUUUAUUAAAAACACAGCACUCUGCAAAGACGAAAGUCGACGUAUAGGGUGUGACGCCUGCCCGGUGCCGGAAGGUUAAGUGAUGGGGUGCAAGCUCUUGAUCGAAGCCCCGGUAAACGGCGGCCGUAACUAUAACGGUCCUAAGGUAGCGAAAUUCCUUGUCGGGUAAGUUCCGACCUGCACGAAUGGCGUAACGAUGGCCACACUGUCUCCUCCUGAGACUCAGCGAAGUUGAAGUGUUUGUGAUGAUGCAAUCUACCCGCGGCUAGACGGAAAGACCCCAUGAACCUUUACUGUAGCUUUGCAUUGAUCUGUGAACCGGCCUGUGUAGGAUAGGUGGGAGGCUUUGAAGCGUGGUCGCUAGAUCACGUGGAGCCAUCCUUGAAAUACCACCCUGGUUUGUUUGCGGUUCUAACCUUGGUCCGUUAUCCGGAUCGGGGACAGUGCAUGGUGGGCAGUUUGACUGGGGCGGUCUCCUCCCAAAGUGUAACGGAGGAGUUCGAAGGUACGCUAGGUACGGUCGGAAAUCGUGCUGAUAGUGCAAUGGCAUAAGCGUGCUUGACUGUGAGACUGACAAGUCGAACAGGUGCGAAAGCAGGACAUAGUGAUCCGGUGGUUCUGAAUGGAAGGGCCAUCGCUCAACGGAUAAAAGGUACUCUGGGGAUAACAGGCUGAUACCGCCCAAGAGUUCAUAUCGACGGCGGUGUUUGGCACCUCGAUGUCGGCUCAUCUCAUCCUGGGGCUGUAGCCGGUCCCAAGGGUAUGGCUGUUCGCCAUUUAAAGAGGUACGUGAGCUGGGUUUAAAACGUCGUGAGACAGUUUGGUCCCUAUCUGCCGUGGGCGUUGGAUACUUGACGGAGCCUGCUCCUAGUACGAGAGGACCGGAGUGGACGUACCUCUGGUGUACCGGUUGUCAUGCCAAUGGCAUUGCCGGGUAGCUAAGUACGGAAGAGAUAACCGCUGAAGGCAUCUAAGCGGGAAACUCGUCUGAAGAUUAGGUAUCCCGGGGACUUGAUCCCCCUAAAGAGUCGUUCGAGACCAGGACGUUGAUAGGUCGGGUGUGGAAGCGCAGUAAUGCGUUAAGCUAACCGAUACUAAUUGCUCGUGAGGCUUGAUCCU
rnacentral:rRNA from 1 species